rnacentral:rRNA from 1 species
AUUGAACGCUGGCGGCAGGCCUAACACAUGCAAGUCGAACGAGUGGCGGACGGGUGAGUAAUGUCUGGGAAACUGACUGAUGGAGGGGGAUAACUACUGGAAACGGUAGCUAAUACCGCAUACCAUCGGAUGUGCCCAGAUGGGCUUAGCUAGUAGGUGGGGUAACGGCUCAACUAGGCGACGAUCCCUUGCUGGUCUGAGAGGAUGACCAGCCACACUGGAACGGAGACACGGUCCAGACUCCUACGGGAGGCAGCAGUGGGGAAUCUUGCACAAUGGGCGCAAGCCUGAUGCAGCCAUGCCGCGUGUAUGAAGAAGGCCUUCGGGUUGGAAAGUACUUUCAGCGGGGAGGCGUUACCCGCAGAAGAAGCACCGGCUAACUCCGUGCCAGCCGCCGCGGUAAUAC